rnacentral:rRNA from 1 species
UACGGGGGGGGCAAGCGUUGUUCGGAAUUACUGGGCGUAAAGGGCUCGUAGGUGGCCAACUAAGUCAGACGUGAAAUCCCUCGGCUUAACCGGGGAACUGCGUCUGAUACUGGAUGGCUUGAGUUCGGGAGAGGGAUGCGGAAUUCCAGGUGUAGCGGUGAAAUGCGUAGAUAUCUGGAGGAACACCGGUGGCGAAGGCGGCAUCCUGGACCGGCACUGACACUGAGGUGCGAAAGCGUGGGGAGCAAACAGG